UCGCGCUACCAUGCAAGUCGAGCGGGGUUUUCGGACCUAGCGGCGGACGGGUGAGUAAUGCGUAGGAAGCUGCCCGAUAGAGGGGGAUACCAGUUGGAAACGACUGUUAAUACCGCAUAAUGUCUACGGACCAAAGUGUGGGACCUUCGGGCCACAUGCUAUCGGAUGCGCCUACGUGGGAUUAGCUAGUUGGUGAGGUAAUGGCUCACCAAGGCGACGAUCUCUAGCUGGUUUGAGAGGAUGAUCAGCCACACUGGAACUGAGACACGGUCCAGACUCCUACGGGAGGCAGCAGUGGGGAAUAUUGGACAAUGGGCGCAAGCCUGAUCCAGCCAUGCCGCGUGUGUGAAGAAGGCCUUCGGGUUGUAAAGCACUUUCAGCGAGGAGGAAGGGAUGUAUGUUAAUAGCAUGCAUUUUUGACGUUACUCGCAGAAGAAGCACCGGCUAACUCUGUGCCAGCAGCCGCGGUAAUACAGAGGGUGCAAGCGUUAAUCGGAAUUACUGGGCGUAAAGCGCACGUAGGCGGUUUUUUAAGUCAGAUGUGAAAGCCCCGGGCUCAACCUGGGAAUUGCAUUUGAAACUGGGGAACUAGAGUGUGUGAGAGGGGGGUAGAAUUCCAAGUGUAGCGGUGAAAUGCGUAGAGAUUUGGAGGAAUACCAGUGGCGAAGGCGGCCCCCUGGCACAACACUGACGCUCAGGUGCGAAAGCGUGGGGAGCAAACAGGAUUAGAUACCCUGGUAGUCCACGCCGUAAACGAUGUCUACUAGCUGUUCGUGUCCUUGUGAUGUGAGUAGCGCAGCUAACGCACUAAGUAGACCGCCUGGGGAGUACGGUCGCAAGAUUAAAACUCAAAUGAAUUGACGGGGGCCCGCACAAGCGGUGGAGCAUGUGGUUUAAUUCGACGCAACGC
rnacentral:rRNA from 1 species